rnacentral:rRNA from 1 species
CGGCCAGCUACACGCCGGUGGCCGCGGUUGUACGGAGUUUCCGGGCGUUAUCCGGAUUCAAUGGGUUUAAAGGGUCCGUAGGGGAAUCCGUAAGUCAAAGUUGAAAUCUGCCUGCUAAACUGAAAAACUGCAGUUGAUACUAAGGGUCUUGAAUUCCGUGGGGGGAGGGUGAAAUGCGUAGUGUAGCGGUGAAAUGCCUAUAUCUGAAGUAGAACACCGGUUGCGAACGCAACCUAACUACGCGAAAACUGACGCUGAGGACCGGAAUGCGGAGGGGAUGGAAAACGAUUAAAUAACCUGGUAGUCCACGCCGUUAACCGAUGAUUACUCGCUGUGGGGGAUAUACAGCUCGUGGCCUUACCGAAAGCGUUAAGUAUCCCACCUGGGGAGUAC